rnacentral:rRNA from 1 species
CGGCGCCACGAGUGGUCAUCACGAUUAUUGGGCCUAAAGCGUUCGUAGCCGGCCUGGUAAAUCCUUUGUGAAAUCGUCUCGCUCAACGUGACGGCGUGCAGAGGAGACUGCCAGGCUAGAGACCGGGAGGGGUCAGAGGUAUUCCGGGGGGACCGGUAAAAUGGGAUAAUCCCCGGAGGACCACCGAUGGCGAAGGCAUCUGACCAGAACGGAUCUGACGGUGAGGAACGAAAGCCAGGGGAGCAAACCGGAUUAGAUACCCGAGUAGUCC